rnacentral:rRNA from 1 species
UACGAAGGGGGCUAGCGUUGCUCGGAAUCACUGGGCGUAAAGCGCACGUAGGCGGCUUUCUAAGUCGGUGGUGAAAUCCUGGAGCUCAACUCCAGAACUGCCUCCGAUACUGGAGAGCUCGAGUCCGGGAGAGGUGAGUGGAACUGCGAGUGUAGAGGUGAAAUUCGAUAGAUAUUCGCAAGAACACCAGUGGCGAAGGCGGCUCACUGGCCCGGUACUGACGCUGAGGUGCGGAAAGCGUGGGGAGCAAAGCAGGG